rnacentral:rRNA from 1 species
CCUACGGGCGGCAGCAGUAGGGAAUAUUGCUCAAUGGGGGAAACCCUGAAGCAGCAACGCCGCGUGGAGGAUGAAGGUUUUCGGAUUGUAAACUCCUUUUGUUAGAGAAGAUAAUGACGGUAUCUAACGAAUAAGCACUGGCUAACAACGUGCCAGCAGCCGCGGUAAUACGGAGGGUGCAAGCGUUACUCGGAAUCACUGGGCGUAAAGAGCGCGUAGGCGGGAUAGCAAGUCAGAUGUGAAAUCCUAUGGCUCAACCAUAAAAUUGCAUUUGAAACUGUUAUUCUAGAGUAUAGGAGAGGUAGGUGGAAUUCUUGGUGUAGGGGUGAAAUGCGUAGAGAUCAAGAAGAAUACUGAUUGCGAAGGCGGCCUGCUAGAACAUAACUGACGCUGAUGCGCGAAAGCGUGGGGAGCAAACAGGAUUAGAUACCCUAGUAGUC